AACGCACAUUGCACUCUAUUCUGUAGAGUAUGCCUGUUUGAGAAUCUAUAGUAUCUUUUCUUGGGAUUUUAUUUUUUCAAGAAGAUAUGAAGUGUCUCUAUAAUAAUAAGAGUACUUUAAAAUAGAUUAUCUGAUUGUAUUUUUCAUGGUGAUGACGUCCCUUUUGAAAAAACAGACAGAACAGUAUUUGAAUGGUUUUUUGAUUGACCUCGAUGCUUAUUAUGUUUGUGAAAGAGAAAUAGUCAUGAAAAAACUUUUAGGUCCAUAAAUUUAAAAAUAUAUAUAUGUAUAUAUAUUUUGAACCUUGGUCUCAAAUCAGGUAGGAAGACCCGCUGAACUUAA
rnacentral:misc_RNA from 1 species